GACGAACGCUGGCGGCGUGCCUAAUACAUGCAAGUCGAACGCACUCUCGUUUAGAUUGAAGGAGUUUGCUCCUGAUUGAUCAACAUUUGAGUGAGUGGCGGACGGGUGAGUAACACGUGGGUAACCUGCCCUAAAGUGGGGGAUAACAUUUGGAAACAGAUGCUAAUACCGCAUAAAACCUAACACCGCAUGGUGUAGGGUUGAAAGAUGGUUUCGGCUAUCACUUUAGGAUGGACCCGCGGUGCAUUAGUUAGUUGGUGAGGUAAAGGCUCACCAAGACGGUGAUGAAUAGCCAACCUGGGAGGGUAAUCGGCCACACUGGGACUGAGACACGGCCCAGACUCCACGGGAGGCAGCAGUAGGGAAUCUUCCACAAUGGACGAAAGUCUGAUGGAGCAACGCCGCGUGAGUGAAGAAGGUUUUCGGAUCGUAAAACUCUGUUGUUGGAGAAGAAUGUAUCUGAUAGUAACUGAUCAGGUAGUGACGGUAUCCAACCAGAAAGCCACGGCUAACUACGUG
rnacentral:rRNA from 1 species